AGAAGUGACAUAUGCAGCAUGACCAGUGGAAGCUUCGAAGAGCUAUUGCCAAUUUCCACCCUCUCUCUGGAAACUGUCAUUAGGGUUAGGGAAACUGUCAUGAGAUCUGCAUAUUUUAGAUAGAGGCUGCUUGCCUUAUUUGGGCACCUAAUGAAAAAGACAUGGAGGCCAGGUGCGGUGGCUCAUGUCUGUAAUCCCAGCACUUUGGGAGGCCAAGGCGAGUGGAUCACCUGAGGUCAGGAGUUCGAGACCAGCCUGACCAACAUGGCAAAACCCCGUCUGUACUAAAAGUGCAAACACAAAGGGAACUGCGUGGCUUGUUUCUACCUGAACAUUGUCAAGUGAUUUCAUCCUUUGAAACACAGUUGUGAAGUGUGUCCAGCAGUCUGAGAACAAGAAGAAGAAGAAAAUCUAAUCCUUCAGGGUGUCUGUGUGCCAGCCCUGCUCUCAGCACUUCCCAUGUGGAACUCCUUUACUUCUCCUAACAACUCCAUGACAUGGGUUAGACUGUGAUUGUUCCCAUAUUGUUGGUAGGGAAACUGAGGCAUGCAGGUGUUACAGAGCUCUCUCAAGUGGCAAGCUUUCUGGGUGGUUACAGAGUGGCAGAGCUGGGGUAUCCCAUGAUGUCACCACACUGCUAUAUGGAAAAGAACAUUAAUCGAGCACCUACGUGCUUGAUUCUCUUAAUUCUGUGACUGAACUCUCAAAACACCCUGGGUAAGCACUAUCAUCUCCUAUUUUCACAAGUGAAAAAACUGGGAUUCAAAAAAAUUAAGUGACUUACCAAAUAUUACAGAGCUAGUAAGCCAAGACUUGAACACUGAGAUGGAAUUCUACCUUUUAAGGUGGCUAAGCAACAGAAGGAUGUUCCUUUCCCAAGGGGGUUGGUUUCCUUUUUACAACUGCCCAAGUCAUGAGUUCAUAGGGCCUGGAUGGCUGUACCGGAUUGCUCUCCAGCUGGUCUCUCUGCAUCCAGAAAUUUCUACAACCUACUGGGAGCACUGCGUGUUUUGAAAUAUACAAAUAGUGGGAAACGAAAUCUUUGUUCUGGAUGCAGUUAUAAUUUGGAAAGCGAGGAAAUAAAUUAUAACAAGGGGAAAAAACAGACACAGAGGGAUUGAAAUGCAUAACAAUAGAGAUGAAACACGAAGAGUGAUAAAUGAAGAUUGAGUGUGCACACCUUCUGGAGGAGCCCUGAUUGAGUAUUUUAAAAUACUACUAAAGUCAUGCCGUGUGACUUCUGAAGCUAGCUCCUAAGAAGUCCUUGCAGCUUCUGCCUGCGACUCUUAGAACACUUGCUUUGAAGGAUGCCAGAUGCUGUCUUAAAAGUCUGAGCACUCUGAAACCAUCAUGCUGUGAGGAAGCCCAAGCUAACCACAUGGGCAAAAAAGAUGCCCUCUGACUGCCACCAUUUGAGACACUCUAAUUAAGAACUGCCUCAUUGAGCCCAUGAGGCCCUGUGAAUGAUAAUAAUAAAUUGUUUUUAACCAC
rnacentral:lncRNA from 1 species